CGGAGGGGGCUAGCGUUGUUCGGAAUUACUGGGCGUAAAGCGCGCGUAGGCGGACCUGCAAGUCGGGGGUGAAAGCCCGAGGCUCAACCUCGGAACUGCCUUCGAUACUGCGGGUCUCGAGUCCGGGAGAGGUGAGUGGAAUUCCUAGUGUAGAGGUGAGAUUCGUAGAUAUUAGGAAGAACACCAGUGGCGAAGGCGGCUCACUGGCCCGGUACUGACGCUGAGGCGCGAAAGCGUGGGGGGCAAACAGGAUUAGAUACCCUGGUAGUCCACGCCGUAAACUAUGGGUGCUAGCCGUCGGUCGGCAUGCCGGUCGGUGGCGCAGCCAACGCAUUAAGCACCCCGCCUGGGGAGUACGGUCGCAAGAUUA
rnacentral:rRNA from 1 species